AUUGAACGCUGGCGGCAUGCCUUACACAUGCAAGUCGAACGGUAACAGGUCUUCGGAUGCUGACGAGUGGCGAACGGGUGAGUAAUACAUCGGAACGUGCCUAGUAGUGGGGGAUAACUACUCGAAGGAGUGGCUAAUACCGCAUGAGAUCUACGGAUGAAAGCAGGGGAUCGCAAGACCUUGUGCUACUAGAGCGGCCGAUGGCAGAUUAGGUAGUCGGUGGGAUAAAAGCUUACCAAGCCGACGAUCUGUAGCUGGUCUGAGAGGACGAUCAGCCACACUGGGACUGAGACACGGCCCAGACUCCUACGGGAGGCAGCAGUGGGGAAUUUUGGACAAUGGGCGCAAGCCUGAUCCAGCAAUGCCGCGUGCAGGAUGAAGGCCUUCGGGUUGUAAACUGCUUUUGUACGGAACGAAAAGCCCCGGGUUAAUACCCUGGGGUCAUGACGGUACCGUAAGAAUAAGCACCGGCUAACUACGUGCCAGCAGCCGCCGUAA
rnacentral:rRNA from 1 species